UACAGAGGUCUCAAGCGUUGUUCGGAUUCAUUGGGCGUAAAGGGUGCGUAGGUGGUGGGGUAAGUCGGAUGUGAAAUCCCGGGGCUCAACCCCGGAACUGCAUUCGAUACUGCCUUGCUCGAGCACUGGAGAGGAGACUGGAAUUUACGGUGUAGCAGUGAAAUGCGUAGAUAUCGUAAGGAAGACCAGUGGCGAAGGCGAGUCUCUGGACAGUUACUGACACUGAGGCACGAAGGCCAGGGGAGCAAACGGG
rnacentral:rRNA from 1 species